CCUACGGGAGGCAGCAGUGGGGAAUUUUUGGCAAUGGGGGAAACCCUGACCAAGCAACGCCGCGUGGAGGACGAAGGCCCUCGGGUCGUAAACUCCUGUCGGAGGGGACGAAAGCGAUUGGGGCGAAUAACCCCAGUUGUUGACGGUACCCUAUGAGGAAGCCCCGGCUAACUCCGUGCCAGCAGCCGCGGU
rnacentral:rRNA from 1 species